CGGCCGCCGCCUCCAACUGGGGGCUGAUCACGAACAUCGUGAACAGCAUCGUAGGGGUCAGUGUCCUCACCAUGCCCUUCUGCUUCAAACAGUGCGGCAUCGUCCUGGGGGCGCUGCUCUUGGUCUUCUGCUCCUGGAUGACGCACCAGUCGUGCAUGUUCUUGGUGAAGUCGGCCAGCCUGAGCAAGCGGAGGACCUACGCCGGCCUGGGCCCACGCAAGCUUCCUCUUCUAAACUCAGACUGAGACAGCCGUCCUCACGGUGCUGGUGCAGACCUGCUCUCUCUGUGUCUCUCCUGGACACCAGAUGCCUUCCCGCGGAGCUGCCUGCAGAGAGCCUUGCUGUUCUCCCCAACUCGGAAUUCCAUGGAGGAAGCUCCUCAGGCCCGGGCUGUUGCUAGAGUUCAGUGGCUUCUCUCCCAGU
rnacentral:sRNA from 1 species